rnacentral:miRNA from 1 species
AUCAGACUUGUUACAAGGUUGUUCCAACAAGUCCGACACAGUCAUGAUAUAACAAUAUUGUUACAACCUUGUGUCAUCAAGCUUGUAACAUUCUUGUUUUAUCAUGACUGUAUCAGACUUGUUAGAACAACCUUCUGAUAAUGUCUGAU